rnacentral:rRNA from 1 species
UACGUAGGUGGCAAGCGUUAUCCGGAAUUAUUGGGCGUAAAGCGCGCGUAGGCGGUUUCUUAAGUCUGAUGUGAAAGCCCACGGCUCAACCGUGGAGGGUCAUUGGAAACUGGGAAACUUGAGUGCAGAAGAGGAAAGUGGAAUUCCAUGUGUAGCGGUGAAAUGCGCAGAGAUAUGGAGGAACACCAGUGGCGAAGGCGACUUUCUGGUCUGUAACUGACACUGAGGCGCGAAAGCGUGGGGAGCAAACAGG